GGUCCAAAACUAAGUAAUUUGGCUUUCUGUUCACUAUAGAAGAAAGUGCUACAGAGGUCUAGAAUUAGCCUCAACGAGCUAACUUGUGUGACAGCUACAAAUUUGUGUUUCUAGGAUUCCACCUCAAGUAAAUACUUGUUAAGCGUGUGCAUUUUUUGUAGUGAUGAUGGAGUCAAAAUGACUGCUUUGCUUCUACUAUGUGUAUCUUGGAGCUGGAUUUUUCUGUGGAGUCUGUGGAAGCUUGUUACCAUGUUAAAUGCCCAGCUUGCUUUAAAUCCAAAUCUGAAGGUCACGUGAAUUUUUAGCCCACCCAGCUUGACUGAGCAUUUCUGUCUGGAAGCAUCUUGGGAACAGCUUUCUUCUGAGGAAGAAUCUCUUAGGAGCACAUUCUUCACCCAGACUCUGCUGAACUCACUGGUUUCUUGAGGAGACAGCUGUGCUUCCAUGAGUCAAUGCCCACAGCAACCCCCUGUUUGAGAUCCAGGAGUGAUCCUUCACCACAGGAAUAAGGCAGACUUCGGCAACAGCUGCUGAAAUGCCAAGAUCACACGUUUCCAGCACCCUGCCCUGCCAGUGGUGGGAGGAAACUCCAGUUUAUGUUAAUAAGGUGUGGAGGGUGGCCAAAAUAUUUUGAGUUUUCCGGCUCGAAAAGGUAAUGAAGCUACCUCUGUCUCGGUACACUGGCAUGGGAGCAAACUAAACAACUGGGAAACGUGUUUCAAAGGAAAAAUACAGAGCACAAACUCCCUGGGUUUCACACUUCCACUGAGGGCUGAGCUUUGCCUCUUUCCACCUUUUUUCCAGGCUGGCUGCUCCCCUUCUCACAAAAAGAGGGAUGGAUGGGGGAGGGUGAGAGGGCUGCUUCUACGGAUUAGCUUCAGGCAGCUCUCUCCAGACUGAAAGUUACACUUGAAAGCAUUUCUUAGUUUAUACCAAAAUAAUGAAUUGUUUAGUAUGUAAAGUAAACCCAGAAAGUUAUUCCCAUAAAUCUGGUUUAAAAUCUACCUAUUUAUUAGCUCUGAGCAAAAGAAACCUCCACACUGCUGUGAGCAUGGUCAGAUUCUUUGGGCUCGCUUCAAAAGCUCGCUCUUUUUGUCCUUCCUCUCUGACCUCCUCCCUGCUAGUCCCAGGAUGAAAAGCAAGCCAAAGAUCUGCUGAGAAAUGGGCCGAGCCACUGCUGACCUUUGCAAAUCCAAUUUCUUCAAAGCGAGAGCUAAUCGACGUGUUCCCACGCUGUGUAUUGCUGAAACGUACGAUGCAAUUCAAGGAAUGAAUUCACCAUGGUGCAAUCUCAUUUUGAAUCCAGUUUUCUUGCUAUGUGUCAGAGGGUGAAGGAGGCAGAGUGUGGUACAAGUUAUAAACAGCAGUCACACACAAGUUUCACAAACCACAUGUCUGUCUUUGAAAGAUUUUGUACUUCGGAAGUGCUCUUUCCCUUAAAAUUGAAAAUGCAUUAACGUGUCCUGUCCCCCCCCCACCCCAUUCUACCUUCCCCCCACCUCAAAACCAGAGAGGCAUUUUGUAGUGAUUUAAAAGAAAAAUAAGCCAAUGAGGGUUUGUACUGAAAAAUCUCCAAAUAGAAAAAAAAAAAUAUCUCUGGAGCUAUUAUCUGAUGUGUAACUGAGGUGCCUCUCUGGGGAGAUUUGUGUGCACAGGAGAUGUAGGUAAAUGGGAGGGUGAUACAGGAAGAGCUUUAAAAUUAAUAUUUAAAAUGCAGAUUCUCUCUCUCACUUUGCAUAUCAGAUUUGGUAUGAGUGUUAUUCCUGUUUUACAGCAGUGAGAGCAGUCCCCUCUCUGCGAAGUUUUGCAAUCUCUGCUAGGUACCAUAGGUGUGCCUGCAGAAUCCAUGCAGGAAAAGCAUAUUGGCAUUCCUAAGCUAAAUCUUAUAAUCUUGUUUCAACAGGUGCGUGGAGACUGGCCCCCUCCCUCUGUUUUCCAGAAGGAGCUGCUGUUUGUUUUCUGCACAGCUGGCCAAGCCUGGCCUGACCCCAGCAGCCCGUAGCCUGAUACACCCAACGUGAGCGAGUAGCAAUGCACUGAAGCCUGCUUACGUGCCCCAAGUGGUGCCUGUUUGUGUAAUGCUGUCACUUUUUGUCUGGGGCAAAAGGGAUGGGAGAGGACUCUCAUUGCUCAUUUAACUGCUGUGGAACAUAUGUCAGGGGUAGCACAUCUCAAGCCAUUUCGUCAGCGCCAGAGAGAGGAGCUAUGUCAUUCCCAGUGUGGGGCUGGGUUCAGUGUGCCUCUCCUGGGAGGUCACCUCUCCAGCUGGGAAGCCGUGGCAUGGCAGACAGCCACCAGGCUGCUCCACAUUUGGUGCCUUACACAAACCUCCCAGCGUACGGCACAUCCUGCCGGUUUGGUCGUAUAGCAGAACCAGAGAUAUUGCGACCUAUUUAUUCAUUUCACUGUCGACUUUAUUGCACAAGUGUAAUUCCAUUAGAGCUGAUGUAAUGGAGAAUCAGGCCCUUGGGCUAAACUAUGCUCUGGCUGUGUAAGCUGAAGACUUUCAGAGGAAGCCUCAAUGCUCUCAUUUUCUAGCUGUCCUUAGCAAGGCAAAUGAAAAUAUAUCAUUGUUCUCAAGAUUGCUGAAUGAAGCAAGUCCUUCUUAAAAUUUUAUUUCCAUGACCAUGAAUAGUAAAUUUCAUCCAUUCAUGACUGGUUUAUAAAAGAGUUUGCUAAUUAACCAGAUGUGGAGUACUUUCUUUCUCAGCAAGUAUUGCAAUAAGAGAAUUGUUUGUGUUUUUAUUACUUUCUCAAUAUUUUUGUUAUUCUCUUUCCCCAAGACACGAUUAGAUUUUCCAGUCUUCUGGACAUCAAAGAUCUUGGAGAAAAUAUUGUAUAAACUGGAUAGGUAACAGCUGUUACCAGAUGGAUUUAGUGGUGGAAAGGGGAGAGGGCUAAUUUGUUUUAUGUGCUUCCUCCCACUGCUGGCACCUUUCACUGUGGCACACUGUUCCUGUCCUGUGACAGGGAAUAUCUUUGCACAGAGGGAGCCCUUGUCCACAGGAUUACACCUACCUUUGGGUUUUGCUGCUGUUUAUAAGUAACUUUUUCAAAUGUCUUCAUCAUAGCUCUUUUACCCAGUAGUUUAUUAGAGAGAAAAGAAUAGGAGAGAAGGCCUAACUGUGCUAGUUAAUAGCACUGCUGACACAUUGUCAUUUCUGACCUUUUCAAGUCAAAAGUUUUGUUUGCUCCACUUCUGGAUAUAUCAGGACACUUUAAAUUGGAUUUAUUUCUGUAUAAUUAAAAAAUGUACAGUGAAUUCCCCGAGAAAGGUCACACAGGACUGAAGCAGAGUUUCAGCUUGAAUAAAAACUGCUGUAUCUCUGCUGCACCCUCUCAUUUAACAUGGGAAUGAACAUUUGCAUAAAUACUCUUUAUUUCCUCAUCUGAUGUAAAAUUUCUUGUGUUCCUCUUUUAGAUUAUUCACUGUUUAGGAAAGAUCUUGGAGGGAAAAUGGUGAUUUGUAGUAUUGCGAAGUAUUAGAUGGUAAAACAGAUUGUGUACGUGUAUAACAACAGGAUUUUUGCCUAUUACUAUGCCAGCAAUAUCUGAUCCCAUUCAGAUAACAGUAAAGCAACCCUUCUCCUCUUUCUUAUUUUAGGUUUGAUCUACUUGCUUUCACAUUUGCAUGUUGUGUUUUUAAGUACCAACCCUCACGUUCUUCAAGCUUCAGCAAAAGGCAGCACUUUCAAAAUAUAUUGCCUGUAAAAAAGGUCCUAUGAAUAUUCUAAGACAUCCAAUCUGAUCUAAAAAUUUAAGAGGGGCUGGCGGCCUCUUAAUCUAGUUACCUCCUUCCUGAGGUAGCAUAAAUUAAUACUUUUGCUCCUUCCCUGCUCUGAGCAACAUCAGAAGCCAUUGCCAUUGCAGGAGAGGAGACUCUGCCUUCACCCAGUCCGUGAGGAUCCUCAGACCUUUGCAAAAAUGCUCAGAUUCUCACAGAGUUUGAGCCUUUUCUGAAAGCUGGCCUGGGGGCAUUGGGCACCUCAUCUGGAAGAACACCACUGGAGCAGAUAGUCCAUGUCAAAGGCAGCUGGCCUGCUGUCAAAAGAAUGCAUCCUGGCUGGAGAAGGACAGAACAGAAGCCAUGUCCG